CCUACGGGUGGCAGCAGUGGGGAAUAUUGCACAAUGGGGGAAACCCUGAUGCAGCGACGCCGCGUGAGUGAAGAAGUAAUUCUUUAUGUAAAGCUCUAUCAGCAGGGAAGAAAAUGACGGUACCUGAGUAAUAAGCCCCGGCUAACUACGUGCCAGCUGCCGCGGGAACACCUAGGGGGCAAGGGUUAUCCGGAUUUACUGGGGUUAAAGGGAGCGUAGACGGGAGGGCAAGGCUGGAGUGAAACGCGGGGGCUCCACCCCCGGACUGCCGUGGAAACUGUACGGCUGGAGUGCGGGAGAGGUAAGUGGAAUGCCUGGUGUAGCGGUGAAAUGCGUAGAUAUUAGGCGGAACACCAGUGGCGAAGGCAGCUUACUGGACUGUAACUGACGUUGAGGCUCGAAAGCGUGGGGAGUGAACAGGAUUAGAUACCCGAGUAGUC
rnacentral:rRNA from 1 species